GGAGAGACUGUAUUUAUAUUGCACAGUAUUUUGUACCCAGUUAUUAUUAAAGGUAAAUGCACAUUCUUAAAAGCAUCUCAGACCUCUCAAUAGAAUCAUCUGUGUGAGCUGACAGGAAAGGUCUACAAAACUGCAUUUCAUAAUGUCUGGAGAGGAUGCAUCAUAAACUCAUUGUUUGUCUUGAUCUGGAAGGAAAUGCCCCUGCAGGGAAAAAGGAGGAAGCGAGAUACAAUAACUGUGAUUUCUGAGAAACUUUGCAAGGAAAUGAAACAAUAACAGAGCAGAACAUCAGCAGUUCCAGGAGGAAAGACGCUAAAAAAAUAACUCAACCUCAAGACACGGGAUGGAGAUAAAGCUGUUUUAUGGCAUCUGAAAGCAUGUGGAAAAAUUGUUGCAUAGCUGGAACUGAUUUGGCACUGGGGAAACUAUUUGUUGAACUGCUAGUAAAACUUCAGAAGAGGAAAUACUUAUCAGAAGACAUCCAAACAAGUGCUGAGCUUUUCUUUAUAUGAAAAUCAUGGUCAGAUAGGGCACUUGUAAUCACUAGGAGCUCCGGAAAAAUUGAGCACAUAUUCUCACUGCUAAUGACAAAAACAACGGUGGGAAACACAGCAUGCAUGCAGGACCCAAGAGAACCCAGGAUCGGAAGCAGAGCAGCCUGCUGAGUACAUACUUCUUGAGCACAGUGAUUGGCACUGCUUGGGCAGAGUUGCCAAAAUGGCAGUACGUUGCUGGUUUUUUAAGAACUUGUGGUCAUUAUGGAAGAUAAAUGACAGUCCUUGGAGCUCAUGGCUGAAGUACACAUUAGUCACUGGUAAAUGAUGUAUAAAAAAUAUUCAGCUUGCAAAAAGAUAAUGGUGGUUCCUAUUUGAAAAUGCAGAAAAAUGCACAUAUCUGGAGCACAAAAGUGUCUCAUCAAUAUCUCUGUGGGUAGAAAACUAACCUGUCAAGAGGAAAAUGUUGAGGAGAUGGAGAUAUUUAUGCACGCACAGCACCGAUCAUAAUGAUGUAAAGGACUAUUAAAGCAAACUUAAAAUAUUAGAUACCGCAAAUAUACAACUUAAUUGUUUUUUUUUUUUCCCAUGCAACCUAGGAAUGCUCUGAGAAAUUUCAAUAAGGAAUUGCUCAUUCUACAUCUUUGACUGCCAGUCAUCCUACCUUUCCCCAUUUUACUGUUAUCUGUAAGUUUAGUAGUUAUUCUGGAUUUGAUCUUUUAUUAAUGGCCAAGUCUUUCAUCCCUUGCAAUGUUGGGACUUGCAAGUAGGGAAGACCAGAGGACAGAGUCAGAAAAGUGACCACCUCUUCCCAAGGCACUGAACUAUGACAGAAGCUCACCAAUGCCUUUGAAAAAGUCAUUAAAGUCAUUGAAACACUGGCACAGGUUGCCCAGAGAGGUGGUGGAUGCUCCAUCCCUCGAGGUGAGGAUGGACGGGGCUGUGAGUGUCUGAUUAAGCUGUACGUGUCCCUGUUCAUUGUAGGGUGGUUGGACUGAAUGGCCUUUAAAGAUCCCUUCCAACUCUAUUGAUUCUAUCCAGGUACAAGACAGGGAAAUGCUGCUUGGAGCUCGGGUUGCCAUCAGGAUAUCACAUAGGAGUUAACUCUUGCCAUAAUGAGCAAUUUAGCACUCAUCUAGAGGGCUUAAGAGAUUUUGCUGCAAGUUGGAGUCUAUGGUACAGGAAAGGGCUAAAUUUAGACCACUCGUGUCCUGGUGUAAAAUCAAAUGAUCAGGCUACUUUUCAUUGCCUUUCUCAUCAGUAGCCACAAAUUCUGCAGGAAACAGGAGAAAUUGGACGAAGUGAUAUUAGAUUAAUGGUACAGAUGCCAGAGAAAGCUACUUGUACUUAUUCUCCACCAGCUCAUAGGUGCCAUACAAACUCCUUCAAAGGAGGCUCUUCUGCACAUAGAAUCAUAGAACGAUAAAAUCAUCAGUGUUGGAAGAGACCUCUAAGAUCUUUUAGUCCAACCAUCAACCCACCACCACGAUGCCUACUAAACCAUGUCGUGCUCUCUGUCCCUCUCUGCAGCCACUGAAUAAUCUCUUAGAUAAACACCUUCGCUUCCAUCCUGGCACUCCCUUGCAGAGGAUGGUAUGACACUACAUCCUGAAAGGCUACACCCUCCUUCUUUUACAAGAAAACCUGUGAGAUGCAAAAGGAAUUCUUUAGGUUUGGGCAUCAGCGCUUUUCUCCAUCCUUAUGCGGAGGCUGUUAGCAAUUUGAAGCGUUGGCAUUCUCAGCCUCCCUAACUUCUAAAACCCAUGAAAAUGAGGAGAUAUUUUGCAGAAAGGGGAACCCAGUGAAAAUACCUGCAUUCUAUAAAACCUUGCCAUGUACUGAAGGGAGACUGAAGGUUAGCUUAAAUUCCUUCAGCACAACAAAGCUCUUUGGUACUUGUACACUGAAAGAAAAAAUUGAACCUGCCCACCUUCUGACCUGUGCAGCUCUUGUUUAAUGGAAAGCAGUCAAAUCCAGCAUGUAGCAACUUUAUUAUCAGAAAAGAGAGAGAAAUCUGUUUAGCAACACUUUAUUUACUUCAAAAGUAACCUUGAAUUGUCAGCUGGAACAGAGUAUGUUCCUGCUCUGUAUCCACUUCACAUUUCCUUUGCUUCCAAGGUUCAAAUCCGCAUGGCCAUGAAGCAAGAACAAUAGCAUACUGCUGAGUGCCUGGCUGAGAUAUUUAUAGGUGCACAUGUAGAGCCAAAGACUGCACCGCAGCAUUAUGUUUCCUAGACACAAAGCACAGUUACAUGAUUUCAGCUUUCUUU